UACAGAGGGGGCAAGCGUUGUUCGGAAUUACUGGGCGUAAAGGGCGCGUAGGCGGCCUGUUAAGUCGAACGUGAAAUCCCCGGGCUCAACCCGGGAACUGCGUCCGAUACUGGCAGGCUUGAAUUCGGGAGAGGGAUGCGGAAUUCCAGGUGUAGCGGUGAAAUGCGUAGAUAUCUGGAGGAACACCGGUGGCGAAGGCGGGUCUCUGGGCCGUAACUGACGCUGAGGAGCGAAAGCAUGGGGAGCGAACAGG
rnacentral:rRNA from 1 species